GACGAACGCUGGCGGCGUGCUUAACACAUGCAAGUCGAACGGAAAGGCCCUGCUUUUGUGGGGUGCUCGAGUGGCGAACGGGUGAGUAACACGUGAGUAACCUGCCCUUGACUUUGGGAUAACUUCAGGAAACUGGGGCUAAUACCGGAUAGGAGCUCCUGCUGCAUGGGGGGGGUUGGAAAGUUUCGGCGGUUGGGGAUGGACUCGCGGCUUAUCAGCUUGUUGGUGGGGUAGUGGCUUACCAAGGCUUUGACGGGUAGCCGGCCUGAGAGGGUGACCGGCGACAUUGGGACUGAGAUACGGACCAGACUCCAACGGGAGGCAGCAGUGGAGAAUAUUGCACAAUGGGCGGAAGCCUGAUGCAGCAACGCCGCGUGCGGGAUGACGGCUUUCGGGUUGUAAACCGCUUUCGCCUGUGACGAAGCGUGAGUGACGGUAAUGGGUAAAGAAGCACCGGCUAACUACGUG
rnacentral:rRNA from 1 species